rnacentral:rRNA from 1 species
AUGAGUUAUCCAAUGCAGGGAUUUAGGUAUGAAGAGGAGAGCCACAAUUAUGCUCCACAACAGAUUUAUUCAGCUCCUACUCAUAUACCUCAACACCAGGACAUGUUGCCAAUGGAGUUAAAUGGUCCUUCAUUUGGUCAACCAACAUCUUCAACACAAGUGCCCACACAAGAUGACUUUGAGGAUAUAGACAAGCUCACAUUGCUUGGUCUCGAGUUCACUUGGAGUGCUGAAGAUGAUCCAAUUAGGCCGGUGAUACUAGAUGAAAUGAAGAAGAUCAAGAGUGGAAAAGAGCUAGUGGAAGAAGUAAGGAAGAUUGAGAAGAACAUCAACGCGAGCAACACUAUUUCUUCACAGCUAGAGCUGAGUGUUGCCGAGAUUCCCCUUGAUACAUGUGAGGUUCCAACACCGUCACAUCCAGUUGAGCAAGAUAGCAAGAGUCCAGAGGAAGAAAGACCCCAGAUUGAAGAAGAUGAACUAGAAGACAAGGAACAGGAUGAUCAAGAGCUGCAAUUCCCAAGUGAUCAAGUUGAAGACUCAUCAUCUACUACUGAAGAAGUACAAGAAGCUGUUGUAGAUGAAGAUGAAGAACAUGAGAUUCAUUUGCCUAUUGUCAUACCAGAGCGUGACGUGUCAGGUUUACUCAAUCCUCUUGAUGACAUGAUGCCUUGUGAUUUCUUUGCUACUACCUUGCAUUACAUGAUACCAUCACUUAAGAUUGAUUUAAAAACUCAUUUGCUUGGAUAUGAUGAUAUAUACCCUUUUAGUGGCAUUACUCUCAUUUGUGAUGAUCAUAGUUACUUUCCUCGUGCUAGUCCUAUGCUUAAUGAAACAUAUCACUCCCAUGCUAGUCUUGAGCUUAAUGAUAAAUAUCAUCCUCAUGUUAGUGUUGACCUUGUUGAUUUCUACCAUCCUAAACAUGUGCUUUAUAGCUAUGCUUAUGUAAUUGGAUAUUCGAUUGAUGACUUGGAGGGUAUUAUCCCUACCACUUGCAUUGUCUCUUUCGUUGAGUGCUCUUUCAGGUUCUUGCUUGUGCACGAUCCACUACAUGCUGACCAAGUUCGAGAUGACAUUCCCUGGGACCCCGGUGGACCUAUGGCAUGGGGAUGA